CCUACGGGUGACAGCAGUGAGGAAUAUUGGUCAAUGGGCGCAAGACUGAACCAGCCAAGUCGCGUGAGGGAUGAAGGUCCUAUGGAUUGUAAACCUCUUUUGUCGGGGAGAAAGGCCUGCCACGUGUGGCGGGAAGGAGAGUACCCGAAGAAAAAGGAUCGUCUAACUACGGGCCAGCAGCCGCGGGAGUAUGGAGGAUGGGAGGUUAAUCCGGAUUAAUUGGGUUUGAAGGGAGCGUAGGCGGAAGGUUAAGACAGCGGUCAAAUGUCGGUGCUCAACACCGGCCUGCCGUUGAAACUGGUCUUCUUGAGUGAGCGAGAAGUAUGCUGAAUGCGUGGUGUAGCGGUGAAAUGCAUAGAUAUCACGCAGAACUCCGAUUGCGAAGGCAGCAUACCGGCGCUCAACUGACGCUGAGGCACGAAAGCGUGGGGAUCGAACAGGAUUAGAUACCCCUGUAGUC
rnacentral:rRNA from 1 species